AGUUGCUGUAUUCAUGUGUCUGUUGGGUUAGGUCAGGUUCGCUUGCACAUUUUUAGUCUAAAGUUGUAGAGGCUCAGUUGAGACUAAGAUCAAAAGCGUGCAGCCAGCUUGAGGAAUAGUGGGAUCUAUAGACUAAGUUGGGGCAACGUUAGCAAUACAGCCUCAAAUUUGUCUUGAAGGUCUAACCAGUCUAUCAUUGAUGACAUCCGGCACGGCAACAGCAAACGGUACGGCCCAGAGGCGUUGAAGGAACUCCUGAAACUCCUGCCUGAAGCAGAGGAGGUGAAGAAGCUCCAAGCUUUCAAAGGAGACACCAGUAAACUGACCCUUGUGGACUCCUUUAUGUACCUUUUGAUCCAGGUGCCAAGUUUUGAUGUUCGUAUUGAAGCCAUGGUGCUUAAGGAGGAAUUCUUCCCAUCCUGCUCAGUGAUGAGCCGUGAAAUCGAUGUUAUCCGCACGGCCACUAAAGAGCUGAUGACGUGCGAGGAGCUGCACGCUAUUCUGCAUCUGGUGCUGCAGGCCGGGAACAUCAUGAAUGCUGUA